CAGUUAAUGCGAGUAUCAUUGAGAAAUUUACUUAUUUACUUUCGAACCAUGACAUUUCGACUCUUUCUAUCAUGUAAUACGUGGUAUUGAUUAAUGGCCUAGAAUGCAGUAAUCGCUUCUAACGAGUUCCGCCGCGGGAAUUAGCUGGAUCUGCAAUAUAAUGAUUUGCUGAAUAAUUUCGCCUGUGAAAAUCAUCCUGUCAAUAAUUUUUGAACGAGUAAUACGCAAAGAUACAAGAGAAAAAACAGAGGCGAAAGCUGUUCCAAUACUUCAGAAUUAUUGCAAACAAUCAGAAUUGUCUACUAGUUGUCUUUACUUCCAAAGAAGUUCCUGUUCUGUACAUCCGACAAAACGUCCUAUAUGGAUAGUAAGAAUGUUUGACCAUCAAUCAGAUUAGAAAACGAAAACGUUUUUCACUUUAAUCUUAUAUUUAAAUGGUACAUCAAUCAGUGCUGUGUUUAUUGAAUGAUUUUAUGAUGGCGGCGAGAGUAUUUUUUAUUGAUGAGUGGGAUAUUAGGUCUCUAGCUAUCCUAAAGAUAUGGGAAGCAAGAUGCUCCAUGAAGGAGAGGAGUUGAAUAAGAAGAUAUGAAUAAAAAUUUCAAUAUUUUUUCAAAGAAUUUUGCGUUACUUAAUAUUCGUCAUUUAAUGUGUCAAAUCGUAAAAUCGGCGGAGGAAGCUGAUGCUGCUCACGAAUUUAUUACAAAUCUUCCAAAUGAUAUGAAGCUGGUGAGAGAGGCACCUUACUAUCUGGUGUAUGAAAACAACAUGUUUUUAUUGCUAGAACAUUACUAUGGCAACCAUCAACUACAAUAUUGAAUUUUAAUAAAGGAGGUACGAAAAUAUCAUAUCGCAUUGGAUUGUGAAUGCAGAAGAGUGGUUUACAAAGCAGUUGGAAAUUCUAACCAAGGCAGAAACAUCGUUAGCUAUUGUUCAUGUAUGCAAUAUGUGAUUGGGAAUACGUAGGAAGAAGAAAAGGAAGAAAAAACAUUUGUGCUUGACGACGAAAUUUGGAAAAGUCAAUAUGGUGCUGUCUUAUAAAGCGUGGGACGGUGAUACGAGGAGGUGGGAGGGAUUUACUUCAUUCAAAGGUUCCAACCGCGAGCGGCUUUAGCUGGAGUGUCUAUGCGAUUCUACUGAGAAUGAUUUGUCGAAGGGCCGUUCGACGUUGCAUGCAUUAGAAGAGUCAAAUGGAACAAAUACAUUUAUAAGAGAAUAUUUUCAAAGAAUCCUACGUCAAAAACAUAUUCAUCAUCUAUUAUGGAAUGUCAAGCAAUUGACUUUCGAAGUUGUUCACCAGUGUUAUCAUCUAAAAAGGUUGUUAUUUAAUAUUUUUAGUUCCUUGUUACAGUUUUUAGGCAAUGACAUGCCGCUUUAUAUUAUAGCCCGAAUUUAAAAAAAGGAAGAAAAGAAAAAUACAUAUCCAUAUAUCUUAUGUGCGGACACUGAAUUAUAUAAUAUCGAUCGGCGGUAUUUUACUAUGUACAAUUACCGACGGUUUCCAAAACAUAUUUGGUAUUUCUAAGCUGUAGUAAUAAUCAACGUGCUGGGUUCGAAAGGAAGGCAUUUCCUUUUCAAACGUGAUCCGCAUAAUUAUGUUCCAUAGCGUCUUCAUUACGUGGUUGCAAUUAACAAGGAAGAAGAGGACGAAGAGGAGGAAGAGGACAAACAUUUAUAAUGGUGUUCACGACGAUCCUCAUGGUAUUGCCUCAAGGUAAUCCUCAAUUAAAAUAGUGCUGUAUUACAAAGCUUCAUUCAUAUGGUGGUACGAGGAUACGGAAUAUACGUUAUUGAAAGGAUUCAAAGUAAGUGGCUUUAGAUAGAGGAUAUAAUGGAGUGUUAUGGGAAAGAUUCAUCGUAGGGUUGUUUGUCGUUGCAAAGGGAAUCUGGAUUCAAAUGGAACUGAAAUGGUACUCAGGCAGCUUUAUCAUUGAAAAUGAUCAAAGCUGCAUAUACGAUCAAAGUAUUCAUUGUUCUUCGGGAUAAUAACGUUAGCCCGGACACGCUUUUAAAUUAUGCGUUAAUAUGUAGUGUACGUUUAUCUCACCGUGUCAUCGUUAUACCGUCAGUUUAUAUUAUUAUUCAAUAUAAUUAAAAAGAGAAGAAGUGUUUGGUUCAAUGUUCCAAAUUAUUUGUCAGAAUAUUCACGUCAUGUACUUAAAAAUAAUGUAUAAUGUACGUUUUUCAGAAAUAUAGGUAUUUGGACGAACUAAAUUAUUACGUAGCGCAAAUAUCUUACGAUUGAGAUUUAAUGAAAAUGCAUGCAUACGUUACGUUCUUCCAUACGUAUCGUCGUGUACGUUCGUGUUACAAUAACUUUUAAAUACAAUAUUCUGAAUUCUACUUUCUUGGUAAUGUCAACAUUCUCUUCGCACAAAAUAAAUAAAUAUGAAUAAUUAAAUGCCAAAAAAAUUUUCCUCGUUGGAAAGUGGAUAAACGCAAUUCGACUUUUACAUCGUGAAAUGAUCGAAAAGAUAUGAGUAUGGAGAAUCACAUGGGGAAUCAAAUGGAGAAAAAAGAAUCAAGAAGAAAAAACAGAGAUAAAAGCAAACAGAAAUCUUCUUUUUACGCUAAUAUCGAUCCAAAAUUGUUGGUAACAUUGUGAAGAGAUAAUUAGGGAUCGUGAAAAUAUGAAAAAGAGGGGAUUAAACGAAACAGCGCAUGCUCGAGUCAAUAUAAAAGAUAUUGGGAGCCGUCCGCGGAAGUUGAUAAACUAUUUAUUCUGUUUCGAAUCGUCCUACAAGCAACUUCCUUGAGGUUUCAAGAGAGGGACGAAUUAGAAUAAUAUGUAAGUUCCUGUCCAUCGCGAUAAUGUUACUUAUCUGGAAGAUUAUAAAAAACGCGCUAUCGAUAGUCCUGCAAGGCGUAAUUAUUAAUCGAGUUAAAACUAUUUGUGCUAGUACUUGGUAAGUUCAUUACAUUCUGUUAAAAAUUAGUUUAUAUAUUUUCUCUUUUCUUUUGAAUGAAAUUUAUGAAUGAAAUUUUCUCUAUUCUUUUCAGAUGGUAGACUGAUUCGAUAUAUACGCAAAUACAUGCAUAUAUAUAUAUUUCACCGCACUGUGUACUUUGUAUGUACUAAAGUCUAAUGUUCAUGUCUAUAUUUAUUUAUAUAUUUGUCUAUAAACUGAUAUACUCUUUAUAUAUUUCUGAGAAUCAUAUGGAUAUAGAUAAAUGUAUAAAUAAAUAAGCUCAUAAUUUGCCUUCAAUACGUAUAACAUAAGCAGUGCGUUGUAAAAUAUAUAUACAUAUAUAUAUGUAUAUAUAUACACAUAUGUGUAUACAUAUGUGUCAUACGAAUAUCAGUAAACCACGGAUGUAAAAUUGAAAAGAAAAUUGAAAAAUAAGUCAAAAUAAAAAAUGAAGUUAAUAUUAAAGAAGAAAAGAGACAUCGAGAAAAGAAGCAAGCUUAUAUGUACUAGAAAACUCUGAAGUGUGUUUAACAGAAUAAAAUAUCAAGAGGAUAGAAAUAUACACGUCCAGGAGAGUCGAGCACAUAAUUCAAGGAACCAUUAAAGAGGAAUAUUAAUGGCUACGACGAGUAUAUUCUAUUCCUGGCAAUCUGCUGUAAGUAAUUCUUCAUUUUCUUGAUUAGCGGCGAGUAAUAAUUAUAAUAGAAAUAUUUGUGAAAAUUCUGCUUUAAAUUUCUAAUUUGAUCGUAUCAUAUUCUUAUUGCUUUGGAGACAAUGGCCAUAGAAAUUGGUUUCCCAUAUCAAGUUGCAUAAAACCAAAGAACUGUAACACUUCUGAUCCUGAUGAUAUAGACGUCCGUGUAUUAUAAAGGAAACUUUUUUAUAUAAUUAUAAUUAUAUUAUAUUUUA